rnacentral:hammerhead_ribozyme from 1 species
AGUCGAAACUGGGGCUACGUGCCUCAGUCUGUCGGGGAUGACCUCCCGGCACUGACGACCGCGAAUG